GGGGACGUACUGGCAUCGACAGGAAAGUCAACGGUAUAGUAAGCAUGCCGGAGUAUGAUAACUCACCUCCGUUAACAAAUGGUUAUCAACCACUUUUAAAUGGCAAUACUCAGUAUGCCAUGGCUGCCUAAUCUAGUAGAUUAGAAAGCCUUUGUGCCGUUUGCUUGAUGCCUAAUACACAGCAGACCGCAUAUCAUCACCUUUUAGGCUAGCCGACUGCUCCGCUGCACGCAGUUGGCGAAAUUUCCGCAGCUAAGGCAGGCACAUGGGAGGGUCUCCAAUCCUACUGUCUGCCCGACAAGCUAACUGGAGACUAAGCAUGUAGAAAGCUAUGUCGUGCUUUCACUGGACCCGAGUUCGACUCUCGGCGUCUCCACCA
rnacentral:tmRNA from 1 species